CAACCUUAUCACUAAACUCCUGACACCCAGCACCAUUCUUUCUCUUCUAGGCCAAGUUGUCUCCUUCUCCCAGGCAAGAAUUUCAUAAUUCAGAAUUCAAGGAAUUCAUGAAUCCGGCCGAUCAAAUCAACUUGUAACUACAAUCUUCCCUGACUCUGCCACUGAAAGUCACUGCUCCUGCCAUGCUCCCUAUGUGUCCGGAGGUAAUUAGAUCUCCUGAAGAAAGUUCACCUGAAGAAAGUUGAUAAAAGCGUUGGAAUCGAUUCUUGGAACCUUUUCCAGGACUUUCCUGUGCUCGGGCACUUGGAUUGAGUUAUGCAACUCUGUGAAAUGCUGAAAAGAUCAUCAGGAAGAUGCUUUUCCUAGCCAUACAUUGUUUUAUACAGCCUGUGUCCGAGCCCCAGGCAGGAUCAGCCACGCAGUUAUCUUGUAAUGUGUCAGAGGGCAAAGUGGAUAAAGUUGCUUGGAGGAAGGAUGGGCAGCCUGUCCCACAAGAACACUGUUACCUCCUCUCUAAAAAUGCUCUGGUCAUAAAGCUAGUCAUGAAAUCUGACUGUGGAUUGUUCUCGUGCAAUGUCAGCAAUGAAAUCAGUUGGCGAGAAGCUUCUCUCAACUUCACUAUUGAAGGCCUCCAUCCUUCACUGUGGCCCGCCUUGCAUUGUUCCAUUGUUGCAUUGGCCUUGUCAUGCAUUGCCAUUGUGAGCUUCUGCCUGUUUCUGCCCAGUAAAAUGAUAAAAGGACAAUUGUGGAGAGCUCUCACUGUUUUCCAGGAAGGAGCAGUGUGUUUGUCUUCUUUGCUACUUUUAGUCACUGGUUUCCUCUGGAUAGAAGAGAAAGGUCCCAGUGUAUAUCUUAUCCUGGUCCUUUCCCUUCUUUUCUUGGUCAUUCCUGUGACAUUCACCAUAGCUGCAAUACUGGCCAUCCACCCUCCAAGAAUUAAAAAGAUAAUGACAAAAAAAGUUUACCGAAUGAUCCUGGAUUUCACUGUUCCUGGAGGAGCCUUGGUAAUCAUACUGUUCUCCAUAUUCUUCAUGGAGAUGAUCUUUCAGCUUGAAGGCCAAGGCUGCUCACAGCCCAAAAAUCUGUUUGUCAGCAUGGCAGUCCCAGCUGGAAUCUUCUUCGUUAUUCUACUCUCUCUCUUUGGCUGGUAUCACCUCAAGAAAGAAAACAGGAAGGGAGCUGGAAGCCCUUACCCAGAAAUAGGGGAAAAUUAAGUCAAUCUCCUCCCAGAAUGGCUGGAGGGAGGUUAUGAGAAGAAGAACAGAAGAAAUCAUCCCGAUCUUCUCCUCUUUCAUUCAAUCAUAUUUAUUGAGUGCUUACUGUGUGCAGAGCACUGUACUAAGUGCUUGGGAGAGUACAGUACAAAAAUUAACAGACACAUUCACUGCCCACAGUGAUCUUACUGUCUAGAGGAUGAGUUUACAGUCCUCUCCCCACCCCACCCCACCCAUUUCCUCACCCUCCUCCCACCCAACCCUACCACAAUCCAUUCAAAGGAAGGAGCACUGCUCUGGGAAUCAGGACACCUAAGUUCUAGUCCUGGUUCUGCCUGAAGCAGGGAAGCAGUGUGGUCUAGUAGAUAGAACCCGGGCCUGGGAGUCAGAAGACCUGGGUUCUAAUCCUGGCUCUGCCACUUGUCUGCUGUGUGACCUUGGGCAAGUCACUUCCCUUCUCUGUGGCUCUGUAAAAUGGGGAUUAAGACAGUGAGUCCCUUGUGGGACAUGGACUGAGUCCAAAUUGAUUAGCUUGUCUACCAAGUGCUUAGAAUAGUGCUUGACUCAUAAUAAGCUCUGAACAAAUACCAUUAACAAAAAAAUCUGGCUAAUGUGGGUGAAGUCGUAAUGUGCUGAAUACUUGCCUGUCGAAUGGUUCAUCACUCUCCGUGCCCCAGCAGGAACGUGACUGGAAGAGACAAGGUACGGUGAGUGGAACUGCAUAAGCCACUAGCACUAGAGACAACUCUUCCGUGCAGGUUCUUGGUCCUGAAGUCUCAGACAGAGGCUCAUCUGCUCUUCUAAUAGGAAACUUCAUCAAAGCAUAACCCAGGUUAGUGCAGGGUAGUAUAUCCUAUUUACUAUUUACCUUUAUCAGGGAAGGAAAGAAAAGGAAGGGAGGAAAUCAAUGGUUAGGGAGCUGAGAUGUCUCAUACAUAGGUCAGCCAUUUCCUUUGUUUCUGCUGCCUCCCCUUUCUCUCUGCCUUUAACUGAGGUAUGGUCUCUACAGUUUGGAUUUGACAUUUCUAGACCACAAGCUCGUGUGGCAAAGGAAAGCGUCUACCAUCUCUGUUGUACUGUACAAGCUCUUAAUAAUAAUAACGUUGGUAUUUGUUAAGCGCUUACUAUGUGCAGAGCACUGUUCUAAGCGCUGAGGUAGACACAGGGGAAUCAGGUUGUCCCACGUGGGGCUCACAGUCUUAAUCCCAUUUUACAGAUGAGGUAACUGAGGCACAGAGAAGUUAAGUGACUUCCCCACAGUCACAGAGCUGACAAGUGGCCGAGCCGGGAUUCGAACCCAUGACCUCUGACUCCAAAGCCCAGGCUCUUUCCACUGAGCCACGAUGCUUCUCACUUAGUACGAUGCUCUGCACACAGUAAAUGCUCAAUUGAUACUGCUGACUGAUCAGUUGGCAUCUGUGGCUUUGAACCCAGAGUUCCUGCUUCAGGAAAUUGUGGGCCUUGCUUAAAGAAAGCAAGGAAAAGCUUAAAAAUGUCUAAUGCACAGGAGCAGGUGACCAUCCAGGGAAGAAAGUUCAUUCAUUAAAUCCAUUCGCCUUUGCUGCUGGUGAGGAAUUCUAUUUUGUGAUUUUGGUAGUGCUAUUUUUGGUUUAUAAAUAGUGAUAGUAAUAAUGGUAUACGUUAAGCGAUUAUAUAUGCCAAGCACUGUUGUAAGGGCUGGGGUAGAUACAAGGUAACAGAAAAGUUAAGUGACUUGCCCAAAGUCACAUAUCUGAUGAGUUACAGAGCCAGGAUUAGAACCCACCUCCUCUGACUCCCAAGCCCGUACUCUUUCCACAAGCCACGCUGCUUCUCUGACAAGUUAAUGGAAAGCCAGGGAGUCAGGGUUUCUGUCAUUUAGAUAAGCUUCAGUUACUUUAUAAGGACUACUGCAUAUUUCCCUUUGAUGAAGACAGGAAGCCACAACCUGUAUUUUAAAUCAAUAUUACUGAAUGGGUCAUCCAAAUACCUUUUACCUUAAAAGGAUUUAUUGCGAGCUUUUGCGGAGGAGCAGCUUGGCUUAGUGGAAAGACUGUGAGCCCCUAGUGGGACAGUUAACUUUUAUCUACCCCGCCCAGCACUCAGAACAGCAUUUGACUAAACAAAUACCUUAAAAAAAAGGCAGGAGACUUGGGUUUUAAUACCAGUUCUACCCUUGCCUUCUCUGUGCUUCAGUUUUCUCAUCGGUAAAAUGGGUAUGAACUACCUGUUCUUGCUACCCCUUUGAUUGUGAUCCCCAAGUGAGUCAGGGACUCUAUCCAACCUGAUUAUCUUGUAUCUACCGCAGAGCAAAGUAGAGUGUUUGAGAUAUAACAGGGGCUUAAUAAAUACCACAAUCGCAGUUAUUGUUACCUAGUGAAAGUGAAAGGGGAUGAUCAGCUGUUCUCUUUGUCCAUGGGGUCAGAAUAAGAGUAAAAAGGCUUAAAUUGCAGCCAGACAGGUUGAGACUAGACAUUAGGAAGAACUUUCUGCUGUGAUGGUAAGCAGGCACCAGAACAGUCUCCCAAGAGAAACUCCUGUUGGACUCUUAUUCAACUCUGCAGUUACUUUAGUUGCGUAUUCUUACUACUGUGGUUAUUAUGGUAUUUGUUAACAUGUGCUAAGCACUGUUCUAAUCUCUAGGGUAGAUACAAGAUAAUCAGUCUGGACACAGUUCCUGUCCCACAUGGGGCUCACAGUCUAAAUAGAAGGGAGUAGGAUUUAAUCUCCAUUUUACAGAUGAGGAAACUGGGGCCCAGAUUAAUUGAGGAAGCAGCGUGGCUCAGUGGAAAGAGCCUGGGCUUCAGAGUCAGAGGUCAUGGGUUCGACUCCCGGCUCUGUCACUUGUCAUCUGUGUGACUGUGGUCAAGUCACUUAACUUCUCUGUGCCUCAGUUACCUCAUCUGUGAAAUGGGGAUUAACUGUGAGCCUCACGUGGGACAACCUGAUUACCCUGUAUCUCCCCCAGCGCUUAGAACAGUGCUCUGCCCAUAGUAAGUGCUUAACAAAUACCAACAUUAUUAUUAUUACUAAA
rnacentral:lncRNA from 1 species